rnacentral:rRNA from 1 species
GACGAACGCUGGCGGCGUGCCUAACACAUGCAAGUCGAACGAGGUCCAACCCUCCGCAAGGAGGGGGAAGACCUAGUGGCGAACGGGUGAGUAACACAUGAGGAACCUGCCUCGGAGACCGGGAUAACACCGGGAAACCGGUGCUAAUACCGGAUGCCCUCAGCGGACCACAUGAUCUGCUGAGGAAACGGAUUCCGCUCCGAGAGGGUCUCGCGGCCUAUCAGCUUGUUGGUGGGGUAACGGCCCACCAAGGCUCCGACGGGUAGCUGGUCUGAGAGGACGAUCAGCCACACUGGGACUGAGACACGGCCCAGACUCCUACGGGAGGCAGCAGUGGGGAAUCUUGCGCAAUGGGCGAAAGCCUGACGCAGCAACGCCGCGUGGGGGAUGAAGGCUCUCGGGUUGUAAACCCCUUUCAGCAGGGACGAUUGUGACGGUACCUGCAGAAGAAGCCCCGGCCAACUACGUGCCAGCCGCCGCCGUAAAAC